AUUGAACGCUGGCGGCAGGCCUAACACAUGCAAGUCGAGCGGUAGCACAAGAGAGCUUGCUCUCUGGGUGACGAGCGGCGGACGGGUGAGUAAUGUCUGGGAAACUGCCUGAUGGCGGGGGAUAACUAGUGGAAACGGUAGCUAAUACCGCAUAACGUCGCAAGACCAAAGUGGGGGACCUUCGGGCCUCACGCCAUCAGAUGUGCCCAGGUGGGAUUAGCUGGUAGGUGGGGUAACGGCUCACCUAGGCGACGAUCCCUAGCUGGUCUGAGAGGAUGACCAGCCACACUGGAACUGAGACACGGUCCAGACUCCUACGGGAGGCAGCAGUGGGGAAUAUUGGACAAUGGGCGCAAGCCUGAUCCAGCCAUACCGCGUGGGUGAAGAAGGCCUUCGGGUUGUAAAGCCCUUUUGUUGGGAAAGAAAUCCAGCCGGCUAAUACCCGGUUGUUCUGACGGUACCCAAAGAAUAAGCACCGGCUAACUUCGUGC
rnacentral:rRNA from 1 species